rnacentral:rRNA from 1 species
UGCCAGCCGCCGCGGUAAUACGGAGGAUCCAAGCGUUAUCCGGAAUCAUUGGGUUUAAAGGGUCCGUAGGCGGAUUUAUAAGUCAGUGGUGAAAGUUUGCGGCUCAACCGUAAAAUUGCCAUUGAUACUGUAAGUCUUGAAUUACUAUGAAGUGGUUAGAAUAAGUAGUGUAGCGGUGAAAUGCAUAGAUAUUACUUAGAAUACCGAUUGCGAAGGCAGAUCACUAAUAGUAUAUUGACGCUGAGGGACGAAAGCGUGGGUAGCGAACAGGAUUAGAUA